UGGAUCAAAGCCAGUUGAUUNAGGNGCUUAGCUGUUAACUAAGUUUUUNUGGGUUUGAGUCCCAUUGAUCUAG
rnacentral:tRNA from 1 species